rnacentral:rRNA from 1 species
UGGGGAAUAUUGCACAAUGGGCGAAAGCCUGAUGCAGCGACGCCGCGUGAGGGAUGACGGCCUUCGGGUUGUAAACCUCUUUCAGCAGGGAAGAAGCGAAAGUGACGGUACCUGCAGAAGAAGCGCCGGCUAACUACGUGCCAGCAGCCGCGGUAAUACGUAGGGCGCAAGCGUUGUCCGGAAUUAUUGGGCGUAAAGAGCUCGUAGGCGGCUUGUCACGUCGAUUGUGAAAGCCCGAGGCUUAACCUCGGGUCUGCAGUCGAUACGGGCUAGCUAGAGUGUGGUAGGGGAGAUCGGAAUUCCUGGUGUAGCGGUGAAAUGCGCAGAUAUCAGGAGGAACACCGGUGGCGAAGGCGGAUCUCUGGGCCAUUACUGACGCUGAGGAGCGAAAGCGUGGGGAGCGAACAGGAUUAGAUACCCUGGUAGUCCACGCCGUAAACGGUGGGAACUAGGUGUUGGCGACAUUCCACGUCGUCGGUGCCGCAGCUAACGCAUUAAGUUCCCCGCC